GAGGGUAGAACUCAGUGGUAGAGCACGUGCUUAGCACGCAUGAGGUCCUGGGUUCAAUCCCCAGCACCUCCG
rnacentral:tRNA from 1 species